rnacentral:rRNA from 1 species
GCGCAGCAGUCGCGAAUACUCUACAAUAAGCGAAAGCUUGACAGGGUUAUUCUGAGUGAUUUCCGCUAAGGAAAUCUUUUGGCACCUCUAAAAAUGGUGCAGAAUAAGGGGUGGGCAAGUCUGGUGUCAGCCGCCGCGGUAAUACCAGCACCCCGAGUGGUCGGGACGUUUAUUGGGCCUAAAGCAUCCGUAGCCGGUUCUACAAGUCUUCCGUUAAAUCCACCUGCUUAACAGAGUGGGCUGACGGAAGAUACUAUAGAGCGUAGGAGGCGGGAGAGGACAAGGCGGUACUCGAGUGGGGUAAGGGUAAAUCCGUUGAUCCAUUGAAGACCACCAGUGG